GUUAAAUCAAAACUGGGCAAUCAGACUCUCUGCCAAGAAGAAUGGCCAGUUUUAUGUUUACUCUGGCAGUUUUGUUUUGUUUCUCUAUUGCUUUAAUAUUUUCUGCGCCGAACAGUGUUCUCCCAACUGAUGGUAACUGUUGGACGAAUGGCACACACUAUGGAGACGGGAGCGGGUACGCCACACGUUUGCCAAGCUGCUGGGUAGCUAUUUGUGAAAACGAAUUGAAGCGAGUUAUCGUAGCGACGCCGUGCACCGCUGGACCAGAUAUAAUGUACGCGCCGGAGGAGCUUACGAAACUGAUCUCCAGUCACUGUUACCCCUCAUCCCGUGGGGAACUCCAGGGGGACCAAUGCUGCGGGGGA